AUUGAACGCUGGCGGCAGGCCUAACACAUGCAAGUCGAACGAGUGGCGGACGGGUGAGUAAUGUCUGGGAAACUGCCUGAUGGAGGGGGAAAAAUACUGGAAACGGUAGCUAAUACCGCAUACCAUCGGAGGUGCCCAGAUGGGAUUAGGUAGUAGGUGGGGUAACGGCUCACCUAGGCGACGAUCCCUAGCUGGUCUGAGAGGAUGACCACCCCCACUGGAACUGAGACCCGGUCCAGACUCCUACGGGAGGCAGCAGUGGGGAAUAUUCCACAAUGGGCGCAAGCCUGAUGCAGCCAUGCCGCUUGUAUGUAGAAGGCCUUCGGGUUGUAAAGUCCUUUCAGCGGGGCGGCGUUACCCGCAGAAGAAGCCCCGGCUAACUCCGUGCCAGCAGCCGCGGUAAUAC
rnacentral:rRNA from 1 species